rnacentral:rRNA from 1 species
AGAGUUUGAUCCUGGCUCAGGAUGAACGCUGGCGGCGUGCCUAACACAUGCAAGUCGAACGAAGCACUUACGGAUGACCCCUUCGGGGGGAUUUUGUUUAUGACUGAGUGGCGGACGGGUGAGUAACGCGUGGGGAACCUGCCUCUGCCAGGGGGAUAACAGUUAGAAAUGACUGCUAAUACCGCAUAAGCGCACGGAACCGCAUGGUUCGGUGUGAAAAGCCGAGACGGACAGAGAUGGACCCGCGUCUGAUUAGGUAGUUGGUGAGGUAACGGCCCACCAAGCCGACGAUCAGUAGCCGACCUGAGAGGGUGACCGGCCACAUUGGGACUGAGACACGGCCCAAACUCCUACGGGAGGCAGCAGUGGGGAAUAUUGCACAAUGGGGGAAACCCUGAUGCAGCGACGCCGCGUGAAGGAAGAAGUAUUUCGGUACGUAAACUUCUAUCAGCAGGGAAGAGAUGACGGUACCUGAGUAAGAAGCUCCGGCUAAAUACGUGCCAGCAGCCGCGGUAAUACGUAUGGAGCAAGCGUUAUCCGGAUUUACUGGGUGUAAAGGGAGCGUAGGCGGCGAUGCAAGUCAGAGGUGAAAGCCCGGGGCUCAACUCCGGGACUGCCUUUGAAACUGUAUGGCUGGAUUGCAGGAGAGGUAAGUGGAAUUCCUAGUGUAGCGGUGAAAUGCGUAGAUAUUAGGAGGAACACCAGUGGCGAAGGCGGCUUACUGGACUGUAAAUGACGCUGAGGCUCGAAAGCGUGGGGAGCAAACAGGAUUAGAUACCCUGGUAGUCCACGCGGUAAAC